rnacentral:lncRNA from 1 species
CACUCAGGUGCCCAUGUCAUGUUUAUUUCUGGCUUUACAGGUCAUAGUCCUACUUUUUUUGAAUACUGUGCGCCUUGAAGGAGGGGAAGACCAAAAUUGCCAUCUUUAUAAUAGGGAGAUCCUGAUCAGUUGUGGAUAUCAUUUCUAAGAGUUAUUUCCUGGGGAAAGCAGAGUGGGUUGCUGAUUCAUUCACCUUGGCUUCCAGGUAAGUGGGGACCCCAUUCCUCUUGG